rnacentral:rRNA from 1 species
AUUGAACGCUGGCGGCAGGCCUAACACAUGCAAGUCGAACGAGUGGCGGACGGGUGAGUAAUGUCUGGGAAACUGCCUGAUGGAGGGGGAUAACUACUGGAAACGGUAGCUAAUACCGCAUUCCCUCGGAUGUGCCCAGAUGGGAUUAGCUAGUUGGUGGGGUAACGGCUCAUCGAGGCGACGAUCCCUAGCGGGUCAGAGAGGAUGACCAGCCACACGGGAACGGAGACACGGUCCAGACUCCUACGGGAGGCAGCAGUGGGGAAUAUUGCACAAUGGGCGCAAGCCUGAUGCAGCCAGGCCGCGUGUAUGAAGAAGGCCUUGGGGUUGUAAAGUACUUUCAGCGGGGAGGCGUUACCCGCAGAAGAAGCACCGGCUAACUCCGUGCCAGCCGCCGCGGUAAUAC